rnacentral:rRNA from 1 species
CACGUAGGGUGCGAGCGUUGUCCGGAAUUAUUGGGCGUAAAGAGCUCGUAGGCGGUGUGUCGCGUCGGCCGUGAAAACCUGCAGCUUAACUGUGGGCUUGCGGUCGAUACGGGCAUCACUGGAGUUCGGGCAGGGGAGACUGGAAUUCCUGGUGUAGCGGUGAAAUGCGCAGAUAUCAGGAGGAACACCGGUGGGCGAAGGCGGGUCUCUGG